UACGUAGGCAGCGAGCGUUGUUCGGAGUUAUUGGGCGUAAAGAGCUCGUAGGCGGUUUGUUGCGUCUAUCGUGAAAACCUGCGGCUUAACUGUGGGCUUGCGGUGGAUACGGGCAGACUUGAGUUCGGUAGGGGAGACUGGAAUUCCUGGUGUAGCGGUGAAAUGCGCAGAUAUCAGGAGGAACGCCCGUAGCGAAGGCGGCACUCUGGGCCGGAACUGACGCUGAGGAGCGAAAGCGUGGGUAGCGAACAGG
rnacentral:rRNA from 1 species